GGUCAUAUCAACGUGUUGAAACAUCGGUUUCUGUACGAUCACCGAAGUUAAGCAAUAUCAGGCCUGGUCAGUACCUAGAUAGGUGAUCACUUGGGAAUUCCAAGUGCUGUAAG